UACAGAGGGUGUAAGCGUUAAUCGGAAUUACUGGGCGUAAAGCGCGCGUAGGUGGUUUGUUAAGUUGGAUGUGAAAUCCCCGGGCUCAACCUGGGAACUGCAUUCAAAACUGACAAGCUAGAGUAUGGUAGAGGGUGGUGGAAUUUCCUGUGUAGCGGUGAAAUGCGUAGAUAUAGGAAGGAACACCAGUGGCGAAGGCGACCACCUGGACUGAUACUGACACUGAGGUGCGAAAGCGUGGGGAGCAAACAGG
rnacentral:rRNA from 1 species